GAAUCUAUACUUUAUAUAGAAGUUUUAGUUUGCAUCUAAAGAGAGGAUUUCCUAGUUCCU
rnacentral:tRNA from 1 species